ACAACAAGUCCUCUCAACUUUGCUGUGGGCCUCUCACAGAUAGAAGGGUCUUAACAAAAGUUACAUCAGAAGAAAUAUGCUGUGGACAUAAGUCGUAUGUUAAAUCCUGCCAGUGUUGCUGCUUUGAUAAUUCAAGUCGGGUGACAUCCCGAGCAUUGGGUGGCCCAUGUUGUGACCAGGAUCGUCUGUCAAACUCAAGUACCAUUAAAAAAGGUCAAGAAAAGUGCUGUGGCUCCUCUGCCUCCAACUCUGAAACAGAAAUCUGCUGUGGCGGUCGCAUCCACCUGCGUGAUCAUCCAGAAACUGGUUGCUGUGGAAAUGAAAUCUACAACAAGUCCUCUCAACUUUGCUGUGGGCCUCUCACAGAUAGAAGGGUCUUAACAAAAAAUACAUCAGAAGAAAUAUGCUGUGGCCAUAAGUCGUAUGUUAAAGCCCA